rnacentral:rRNA from 1 species
UACGUAGGGUGCAAGCGUUGUCCGGAAUUAUUGGGCGUAAAGAGCUCGUAGGCGGUCUGUCGCGUCGAAUGUGAAACCCGGGGCUCAACCCCGGGCCUGCAUUCGAUACGGGCAGGCUUGAGUUCGGUAGGGGAGACUGGAAUUCCUGGUGUAGCGGUGAAAUGCGCAGAUAUCAGGAGGAACACCGGUGGCGAAGGCGGGUCUCUGGGCCGAUACUGACGCUGAGGAGCGAAAGCGUGGGGAGCGAACAGG